CUCAGGAUGAACGCUGGCGGCGUGCUUAACGCAUGCAAGUCGAACGGACGCUUUGGGCAACUGAAGCGUUAGUGGCAAACGGGUGCGUAACACGUGGGUGACCUACCCCGGAGUGGGGAACAACGGACCGAAAGGUUCGCUAAUACCGCAUAUGCUCGGUGAUUCAAUUUGUCGAGUAAAGCCGAAAGGCGCUUUGGGAGGGGCCCGCGGCCCAUCAGGUAGUUGGUGAGGUAAUGGCCCACCAAGCCGAUGACGGGUAGCUGGUCUGAGAGGACGAUCAGCCACACUGGCACUGAGAUACGGGCCAGACUCCUACGGGAGGCAGCAGUGAGGAAUAUUGCGCAAUGGGGGAAACCCUGACGCAGCGACGCCGCGUGGGCGACGAAGGCCUUCGGGUCGUAAAGCCCUUUUGGCAGGGACGAGUGAGGACGGUACCUGUCGAAUAAGUCUCGGCUAACUACGUGCCAGCAGCCGCGGUAAAACGUAGGAGGCGAGCGUUAUCCGGAUUCACUGGGCGUAAAGCGCGCGUAGGCGGUUGGGUAAGUCGGACGUGAAAGCCCCUGGCUCAACUGGGGGAGGCCGUUCGAUACUGCUCGGCUUGAGGAUGAGAGAGGGAAGUGGAAUUCCCGGUGUAGCGGUGGAAUGCGUAGAGAUCGGGAGGAACACCAGUGGCGAAAGCGGCUUCCUGGCUCAUCCCUGACGCUGAUAGCGCGAAAGCGUGGGGAGCAAACGGGAUUAGAUACCCCGGUAGUCCACGCUCUAAACGAUGAGGGCUAGGUGUUGGUGGGAUUUCCCAUCUGUGCCGAAGCUAACGCGUUAAGCCCUCCGCCUGGGGACUACGAACGCAGUUUAAACUCAAAG
rnacentral:rRNA from 1 species